rnacentral:rRNA from 1 species
CGGGAACACGUACGCAAUCUACCCCAAAACUAGAUGAAUAGCCCUCCGAAAGGAGGAUUAAUACAUCGUAACUUAAUGAAGUGGCAUCACUUCAUUAAUAUAGCUCCGGCGGUUUUGGAUGAGCGUGCGCCUGAUUAGGUAGUUGGCGGGGUAACGGCCCACCAAGCCUGCGAUCAGUAACUGGUGUGAGAGCACGACCAGUCACACGGGCACUGAGACACGGGCCCG